GGCCUUCCAAGCGAGAGGAGCUCUGUGCCGGAGCUCCUCUCGCUUUUUAUCCAGCGACCAGCUUCAGUGGGCCCCAUUGUGGGGGGCAUCCUGGGGGCUGUGGCUGCUGUUGUCCUGCUGGUGGCUGGGGUCAUUUUCUACAAGAAGAAGCAGCAGGGAGGCUACAAAGCAACGUCAACUGAGUGAUCCUCCUCCUUCCUCUUUGAAGUGACCCUUCAGCACCAGAGAGGUUGUUGAGGGGCAGCGGUGGAGUGCUACAGGGACGGGCAGACAUGCAGUCCCAGUACUGGAAGGAACCAGUACAUUCCAGUGGGCAUUCCCUGUCAUUCAUUCUAGUACAUGCUAGACAUGAUCCUUAACUUCUUAUAACAGAAUCCCCGCCCCCAAUUAUUGCAUUUUUCUAUGUAAGGGGUGUGGCCACUGGGAUGGGCGUGGCCAUGCGGCAUGACUGUCAGGAUGGGUGUGGCUAUGGGAGCUGCCAGAUAGCCGGUCUGCUCCUCCCAUAUGUGGAAUAUAUGUUUUCCUCAUCUAAUCCCUAUAAACAGCAGCUUCAAAAGGAGUGUGUGGAGUAGGGUCAGCACCAAGCAGACAUAAUGGACAAAUAUUGCUGGCUCCACAGCUGUGGAAUGAUCUCCCCAAAGAGAUCUGACAGGAUCCCUCUCUUUCCACUUUGAGGAGGACUUGGCCCCCUUUUAAAUCCAGACUAGAGGUUGGGAUGUAAUUGUGAAUAUGACGGAUAUUUAUACUGUAUACUGCUUUUCAACAAAAGUUCCCAAAGCGGUGAACAUAAAUAUAAAUAGAAAAAUAAAAAAUCACCCAGAAUUUUAAAAAGAAACAUAAGAUAGACACCAGAAACAUCCACUAGAGGGAUGCUGUGCUGGGGAAGGAUAGGGCCAGUUGCUCUCCCAUUGCUAAAAAAAAGAAUCACCACUUUUAAAAGGUGCUUCCUUGCUCAGUUAGUGGAGGACUGCUAACUGAUCCCACCCACCCCACACACACUAUUUGUAACUGCCAUAUUCAGGCUGUUAAGUUUUGUUUUUGCUAAAAUGUUCUGAUUUUUUUGGUUGUACUUUAUGAUUCCUAAUGUGUGUUUGCAUUUCAUAGAAAAGCAAGGUAGAAAAUAAAGAAAUGAAUGGAAUCCAAAGGAACUGAUCUCCUCAUUUCUCUUUCUAAAAGUGACAAACGUCAGUGGAGCAAUGACUCCUGCAGAGGGGACAGUCACCCAGGCUAAAUGGACAGAGGAGCCUCUUCAAGUGGGGGCUCUCAAAGUAUUUUUAUACUUGAUGGCCGUUGAGAAGGAGACUUCUCAAAAAUGAGGGGACUGGUAAAAAGAAAGCUGAAAGGGAAAGUCAUGAAUGUGGAAUGAGGGGGAAAUGCCUUUUCUGAAAGCUGCUUUGUAAUUACUUUGUUCUCAUGGAAUGGGAAAGUGUCUUUGCAAAAAGAGUGAGACAGAACUCAGGUUUGCACUGGUCAAGAAAUGGUUAAUAGAGUUUGCAAGUGUGGAAUGGAAAAUUCCUUGCUGAGUUACUUAUCUGCCAAGGACAGACAGGGUGGGGGAAGAGGGUACGGGUGUUGCAAACUUCAUUAGCAUAGGCAUCGAAUGAUCGGCUUAUUCCAAACUGCCCUGCUUCUUAGAAUGUGAAAGAAUCUUCUCUUAAUUUGCUUAUCUCUUUUCUGUAAAACCGGAAUUCAGAGCAAAGUCCAGCCUCAAGGCAAACACAUGUGUAAAUGUAAUGAAUUAAUUGGUCCCUCGGGCUGAAUGGGGGACGCCCAGCUGUAUAACAAUGCCAAGGUAUAAAACCCCAAGGCACUGGGUAUUUGGCGCGUCUUUCCUGGUAGGCCACGAGGCACAGGAAAGAGCCACCAGCGCUGGUUUUGGUUCAAUAAAUGGUGACUAUUGCUUCCUUCAA